AGUGAACGCUGGCGGUAGGCCUAACACAUGCAAGUCGAACGGCAGCACAGUAAGAGCUUGCUCUUACGGGUGGCGAGUGGCGGACGGGUGAGGAAUACAUCGGAAUCUACUUUUUCGUGGGGGAUAACGUAGGGAAACUUACGCUAAUACCGCAUACGACCUACGGGUGAAAGCAGGGGAUCUUCGGACCUUGCGCGAUUGAAUGAGCCGAUGUCGGAUUAGCUAGUUGGCGGGGUAAAGGCCCACCAAGGCGACGAUCCGUAGCUGGUCUGAGAGGAUGAUCAGCCACACUGGAACUGAGACACGGUCCAGACUCCUACGGGAGGCAGCAGUGGGGAAUAUUGGACAAUGGGCGCAAGCCUGAUCCAGCCAUACCGCGUGGGUGAAGAAGGCCUCGGGUUGUAAAGCCCUUUUGUUGGGAAAGAAAAGCAGCAGGUUAAUACCCCGCUGUUCUGACGGUACCCAAAGAAUAAGCACCGGCUAACUUCGUG
rnacentral:rRNA from 1 species